UACGGAGGAUCCAAGCGUUAUCCGGAUUUAUUGGGUUUAAAGGGUGCGUAGGUGGUUUUUUAAGUCAGGGGUUGAAAGAGCGGCAGCUUAACUGUCGCAGUGCCUUUGAUACUGAAGAACUUGAAUUAACUAGAGGUAGGCGGAAUGAUGACAAGUAGCGGUGAAAUGCAUAGAUAUGUCACAGAACACCAAUUGCGAAGGCAGCUUACUAUGGUUAUAUUGACACUGAGGCACGAAAGCGUGGGGAUCAAACAGG
rnacentral:rRNA from 1 species